AUGAUUUUAUAAGUGCAUGUUAAUUUUGGUAUAUUAAUUUUAGCGAUUUCUAGUCCAAUUUCGAAAAAGGACUAAAUCGCGUAAAAAGUAAAAGUUGUGUUUUAAUACCUAAAGGUGUUAAAUUGCCUUGUAUCUUAAAUUGGGGGUCUUUAAAGUGAAAUUAGGCCAUUGAAAGUGUGAUGGCCGGCCAUGGGAGAAAAAAUAGUUGAAAAGUCAAAAUUAGACAAAAUAGUUUUAUUAUUAACAAAUAAAAAAAAAAGAAAAAGAAAAAGCUAUCAUUUUUCUCUUCCCCUUCACCGAAAUAUGCAGCAAAGAAAGGGUUUUGAAGCUGGAAAAUUUCAGCAACAUAUAUCUCUUGCUUAUGAUGAAAAUUGAGAUUUGGACCUAGAACGGAAAGAAAUCGAUAUAUGGACGAGUAUGUCUUUUCACCUUUGUGGUAUCAAGAGUUUCCAAGUUAGCUCGGGUUGGAGGCCUUCAGAGAUAUUAUCACCCUAUCGAGUUAACGUUAUUGGAGUAAGUAAACUCAAGUGAUUCGAGUCUAUGGCAUGUAUAGGGUUUUAAUGUGAGUAUGUAAUAUUAUGAUUUAGCCAAAGGCAUUGACUUGUUAUUAAGGUAGUAUUAGUUAUGUAAAUUGGCCUAUGUCGGCUAAUAUCGUUAUGGGCCCAUAUGAUUAUUCUUAUGCAUUUAUGUUAUUAUUUCUUGUGAUGUGGCUUACAACAUGUAUGCCUAGAGAUUGAAUUGAGAUUCAUUGAUGAGCUAGUAACUAAUGCAGGAUUAAGUGAUUGGUAAAUAGUUAAUAA